AUGGAGUCGGCGGCCGAGGCGGCGGCGGCGGCGGCUGCGGCGGAGGCGCAGCCCAGGGGCCGCGUGGUGCGGAUCAUCGUGCACGACGCCGACGCCACCGACUCCUCCUCCAGCGAGGACGAGUCGGCGCCGCCGCCGCCGCUGGCCACGAUGCCGACGACCAAGGAGGAGCGCCGGAGGGAGCGCAAGAAGCGCCGCCGCGUCAUGGAGGCCGGGAGGAGGGAGGACUCGGGGCUGCCGCCGCCGCAGGCGUCCGCCGGGGCGCGCACGCCCUCGGUGCGCUACCGCGGCGUGCGCCAGCGCCGCUGGGGCAAGUUCGCCUCGGAGAUCCGCGACCCGAUCCAGGGCCGCCGCCUCUGGCUCGGCACCUUCGACACCGCCGAGGAGGCCGCCGCCGCCUACGACGCCGCCAAGAUCCGCAUCAGCGGGAGCCGCCGCCCGCCCGACGGCGCCACCACAGGCUGCUUCCCUUUCCCCUUCCCGCCGCCAGAGCCUGCCAAGCCGAUUACCUCGCCGCCGCCGCCUCCUCCGCCUGAGCCCGCCAAGCCGGCCAUCUCGCCGCCGCCUCUGCCAGCUAAGCCGUUCGCCCUCCCGUUGAAGCUGAGGCUGAAGCUUUCCUUCAAUGCACAGGUCAAGGACAAGGGUUGGAACUGGUGCUCUGCAGGCGAUGUCAAGGAGGAGGAGGGCGGGGGCUGUGAUGGCGAGGCAAAGGUUGGGGAUGUGAGCAUUGCAGGCGAGGUCAAGGUGGAGGCUGGGGGCUGUGCAGGGGAGGUCAAGGUGGAGGCUGUGGGCUGUGCAGAUGGGUCGAAGGAGGCCGGCGGUAGCUCUGAGGUCCAGGCGGUCAAGCCGAUGUGGGCAAUGAUCACCGGGAAACGAAAGAAGCGGUCAGGCUGCGGCACCCGUGUCGGCGCCCUCCACGCCUCCUCCGUCUGCGUCGAGGAAGUUGGCGGGACCUGA
rnacentral:rRNA from 1 species